GCCCAUUCCAUCCUUCCUCCGAUGCCCACAGCCCACGUCAGUCGGUGUCCAGCACCGGAGUAUCUCCGGAGACCGGACGUUCGUCGUUCCUCGUCGACGCUGCCGUGCGCCGGCCGCGGAGGAAUGGCCGUCGCCAGGGACGACGACAACCCUACACACAGGGGCGCCAGGAGAUGGCGCUCGUCAACGUCCGACCUCGACGACUGCGCGCCGGGUCGCCUCGCUGCAGGACGAGCUUCGUCCGCGGCAUUUCCGACGCCACCUCCACUCGUCCCGUCCAGUGGAAGCCUCGGCUCGGCUGCCUCCCCAGUGAGCGCUUCUGUGGCAUGGAUGCCCCAUGGUAAAUUCUAUGAUAAAUGAUUCACAGUCUUUAGCUACAUAUCAGUUCUUGGUGACAACUCACAGAGAGUACGCCACCUGUCAAAUUCGCCGAUCAGUUUCUUCAAUUAAGGAAGAAAAUAUCAACAUGGACCAUUCUGAGGUAUGAUCUGAUGUUAUAUUUAUGAGGAUAGAUUGAUUUUACAUUUAUUAUAUAUGCCAUAAGUUGCCUUUUUACAUGUAAAGAACACCACUGGAGACUGGGUAAAACAUUAAGUAGACACCAGACAAGCAUGCACGGUUAGAUUAACAUCAGAAGAUUAAUUAGCAUAAAAAUUAUAACCCAUAGAAAGAGUGAAAGACAGAUACAUAAAAGCAUAAAAAACAAUUCCAUUCGGUGGCGAAGGAGCGACGGAUCAAAUUGUUGGACAGCUCACUGUGUGGCACCAUGUAGGCCGACUGUCGUUCCUCUGCGCCACCAGGUCAGCUUGUGUUUAUUCAAUCUGUUCAACUGAACGCGAGAUCCCCUAACGCUUGCUUGGGUCCCACUCUUUUGAUUUGUAGCUGCUCCUUUUGUACAGCUUUAUUGCGUGCCCCACUCCAGUUUGUUGGAAGCAAAUCAUGAAUCAAUCCUCGCUGGUUGGUACCCAUGGUAGGCCACCCAUCAAGUGCCCUCAGGCCUUAGCCGAGGAAAAAGAACCAACACCGACCAUCUCUGAGUUGCUUCACCACAGACUUGAAGAAACGUCGAGGGGCAGUGACUUCGAAUUUUUUUAUGUAGCUUCUGGUUUGAUCAAUUUUUUUGUUCAUGUGUAAUUUUUUUUGAAAAAGUGUUCAUGGUUAAUUCGAUUGUUGGUU